rnacentral:pre_miRNA from 1 species
UCGCGGCGCAGAGCUUAGCUGAUUGGUGAACAGUGAUUGCUGGACUCUUUGUUCACAGUGGCUAAGUUCUGCGCCCGCA